GAUGAACGCUAGCGGGAGGCCUAACACAUGCAAGCCGAGCGGUAGAGUUUCUUCGGAAACUUGAGAGCGGCGCACGGGUGCGUAACACGUGUGCAACCUACCUUUAUCUGGGGGAUAGCCUUUCGAAAGGAAGAUUAAUACCCCAUAAUAUAAUGAUUGGCAUCAAUUAUUAUUGAAAACUCCGGUGGAUAGAGAUGGGCACGCGCAAGAUUAGAUAGUUGGUGAGGUAACGGCUCACCAAGUCAAUGAUCUUUAGGGGUCCUGAGAGGGAGAUCUCCCACACUGGUACUGAGACACGGACCAGACUCCUACGGGAGGCAGCAGUGAGGAAUAUUGGACAAUGGGUGAGAGCCUGAUCCAGCCAUCCCGCGUGAAGGAUGACGGUCCUAUGGAUUGUAAACUUCUUUUGUACAGGGAUAAACCUACCCUCGUGAGGGUAGCUGAAGGUACUGUACGAAUAAGCACCGGCUAACUCCGUG
rnacentral:rRNA from 1 species